CCCGCCGGCGACCGGCGCACGGGUGAGUAACACGUAUGCAACCUGGCCGCCACAGGGGGAUAACCCGCGGAAACGCGGCCUAAUACCCCGUGACGCCACCGGAGGGCAUCCUCCGGUGGCCAAAGGAGCGAUCCGGUGGCGGAUGGGCAUGCGGCGCAUUAGCUAGACGGCGGGGUGACGGCCCACCGUGGCGACGAUGCGUAGGGGUUCUGAGAGGAAGGUCCCCCACACUGGUACUGAGACACGGCCCAAACUCCUACGGGAGGCAGCAG
rnacentral:rRNA from 1 species